CUUCCCCGGAUCACGCCAGUAAAUCUUCCACCUGCGAUCGAGUUUCAGAAUCCAUGUCAUCAGAUUCAUUCUCUUCCCCUGUUUCAAAACCACUCCCAGCCGAAUCCAAACUCUCCUUAUCCACGGAUUCAUCCCAGCAUCCGUGAGUUCCUCCCAUAGCCUCCGAGAUCCUCUCAAACCCACUGUUUUUCCAUGGGUCGGAACAGAGCAAAGACCUUCUCAACGUCCACCGUUCGCGAUUCAAGGCUUCCUCCAUCCACGGAUGAGUUCUUCUCCCUUGCUCCACGUUCACACCCUUCUGUUAUCCACAGAUAAGCUUCAAACUCCAACAAUCUCAGCAUCCCGAGUGCAUCCGUCCUCAUCCAGUGGCCAGCCAGCAGCUGUCCGAGAUCUUCUCCACGUUGAAGCCCUUCCGGAUUCCUCUCAGCCGUGAGCGCCAUUCCGUGUUUCCCACGUCUUCCUCUGCUUCGAAACAGAGCUCCCAACCUCCUCCAGGAUCUUGCCAUUCAUCCUGUUCGUGAUCCAUUCCUAUCAGCCAGCCGCAAGUCAGUAUCCACUGUUCACAAGGAUAAACGUCAUCCCCUACUUCCC
rnacentral:lncRNA from 1 species